UACGGAGGGUGCAAGCGUUAUCCGGAUUCACUGGGUUUAAAGGGUGCGUAGGAGGGCAGGGAAGUCAGUGGUGAAAUCUCCGGGCUUAACUCGGAAACUGCCGUUGAUACUCUCUGUCUUGAAUCCCGUGGAGGUGAGCGGAAUAUGUCAUGUAGCGGUGAAAUGCUUAGAUAUGACAUAGAACACCAAUUGCGAAGGCAGCUCGCUACACGAAGAUUGACUCUGAGGCACGAAAGCGUGGGGAUCAAAACAGG
rnacentral:rRNA from 1 species